GAGAUGGACUGUCCACAGGUCGAAAAGAAAAGUUUGGCGAAUCUGCACUUGAUAAAGAUUCAGGCGUGCCUACAGAACUGAUUGAUCCUGGCAGUGGACUGGAUAUACCUUCGAGCCUUUUUAAAAAAAAUAUCAUUGAUAAUAGGAUGAUAUCUCACCUGUUGGAGUGUGAAAUAACUAAGCUGGAAGUUCGUUUGGCUGGUGGUUGCAAGUGUUGAUCUCCAUUGCUGUCAUCUAAUUCAAACUUUCUUUUUACCGGUCCUAAGCAGCUGGCACGGAUGGCUAUGGGACUGAGACUUCGCCUGUAAUCAGAAAGAGAGGCAAAGUUUCAACCAAUUGAUCAAAACUUCAGGAAUAUUCAUUAAUCACAAAACAAACAUUGUUCAACUUUACCUGGUGGCAAAAGCUUUUCUAGUAGGACUAGGAGAAAGAUUGUUUUUCCAGUUAAAUUGAAUUCCAGGCAGAUGACUUGGCGACUCUGCAUCUUUGAAAGAAGACCCUUCCGCAUCAAGGGUCAAGUCUUCCCAUGACUGGGAUAUCUGUAUCGCACUGUGAAUCUCUUUUUCAUGGGCUGCUUCUCGACCGGCUACGUCCACACUCUCUUCCUGUCGUAACUGACUCACCCUUGGAGUAAGACGUGGAGCACUUCCACCACCAGGACUCUAUCAAGAGAAUAAAGCAAAGGGAAAUUUAAUCUUCUUUGCGUCAAAUACGCAGUAACAACAGGCUCUAGGAAGAUUGGAAAGUACAAAUAUUGUCUAACUCACGCUAGUACUGAAGCGUCUGGUGCGGGGCGAGUUUGAAUAGACGUUGAAGUUUGAAACGGCAUCUCUGAAAAAGCAGUGAGUGGUUGAGG